rnacentral:lncRNA from 1 species
AGAUCAGCACUCCAGUUGCAACCAUUCAGACAGUAGUAGAGUCCAUCAAUUCAGAGAGCGGCAACCAUUAGAAAAGCAACAUGAUCGUCCAGAUUAACAUGCGACUAAAUAUUUCAGAUACUAUGAGUAACAUGCGACUUAAUAGUUCAGAUACUAAGAGUCGAAGUGAGCAUCAUAACGGUUCAGAAUUACAGUCCACAAUGAAUUUAACACGGCAUUCAAAGUUCAAUUAUACCGACCCCAAAAUACAAACAGAAAGUUCAAUUCUGAAUUCUUGUUCUUCAACUUUUCAGUCUUGCACCAAAAGUAUUGAAUCGAACAGAGACCUUCACUUCGGACUUCCUGUUCAUCCACCUGUUAGUCUUCAUCAAACCAAAAGCUCUUUUGCUCCCAUGCCGCUUAACCUUGCAAUUAAAGGAUUGUGAAUUAUAUAAACAUUACAAGUAGAUGGCAGAAUCAACAACUCAUUGAUGGCAGCCCCAAUUGGAACAACAUAUAAAAUCAUAUGGACAAAAACAAUGUGAAUUAUAUAAAGAUUACAAGUAGAUGGCAAAAAGAACUCAUAGAUGGCAGCCCCAAUUGAAACAACAUAUAAAAUCAGAUGGACUAAAGCAUUGUGAAUUAUACUCCCUCCGUCCGAAAAUACUUGUCAUCAAAAUGGAUAAAAAGAGAUGUAUCUAGAACUAAAAUAUGUCUAGAUACAUUUUGAUGACAAGUAUUUCCGGACGGAGGGAGUAUAAACAUUACAAGUAGAUGGCAGCAACAACUCAUAGAUGGCAGCCCAAUUGAAACAACAUAUAAAAUCAGAUGGACUAAAGCAUUGUGAAUUAUAUAAACAUUACAAGUAAAUGGCAGCAACAACUCAUAGAUGGCAGACCCAAUUGAAACACCAUAUAGAAUCAUAUGGACUAAAGCAUUGUGAAUUAUAUAAACAUCACAAGUAGAUGGCAGAAACGAUAAUUAAUAGAUGGCAGCCCCAAUUGAAACAACAUAUAAAAUCAUAUGGACUAAAGCAAACAUCACAUGUUUAUGACAGAAUAUAAUAAAGCGCAUAAAUGGCAAAUCACUUGUUACCUCAACAUUGUUUCCAACUUGGCUUGGUAAAUCCUUUUCAACUUGCAUUGCCGAAUCUCCUCCAUCAGAUUGACUUGCACCAUCAUCAUGGCUAUCAUCGUCAUCAUCAAUUUCCAGCUCGUCAUUUUCUUCAUCAUUCAUGCUCACUAUCAUUGUAGUCGUCCUCUUCUUCCUCUACCCUCUUCCUUUUCCUGCCAUUGUCCUUCCUUCCAAGAUGAGAGGCUUUCCUACUGAGUAAGGAAUAAAAAAGAAUGAACCAUGACAGUAACAAGAAUUAGCAUAAUCUUUACAACAGAAUAAACAACAUUUCAACUCUAAAUGCACCAUAAUACGACUAAAAAUUGAGUAAGGAAUAAAAAGAAUGAACCAGGACAGUAACAAGAAUUAGCAUAAUUUUUACAACAGAAUAAACAACUUCAUACAUUAAAUGCAUCAUAACAUCAAGUAAAAAUAUAUAAUAAGGCAGAAAAAAGGGAC